rnacentral:rRNA from 1 species
UACGGAGGGAGCUAGCGUUGUUCGGAAUUACUGGGCGUAAAGCGCACGUAGGCGGCUUUUUAAGUCAGGGGUGAAAGCCUGGAGCUCAACUCCGGAACUGCCCUUGAUACUGGCAAUCUCGAGUCCGGAAGAGGUAAGUGGAACUCCGAGUGUAGAGGUGAAAUUCGUAGAUAUUAGGAAGAACACCGGUGGCGAAGGCGGCCCACUGGAUCGGUACUGACGCUGAGGUGCGAAAGCGUGGGGAGCAAACAGG